UGCAAGUCGAACGAAGUAGCAAUACUUAGUGGCAGACGGGUGAGUAACAUGUAGGUAUCUGCCCUUUGGCCUGGAAUAACACGAGGAAACUUGUGCUAAUACCGGAUAAGUCUUUACGGAGAAAGCUUUAUGCACCAUUGGAUGAGCCUGCACUUGAUUAGUUUGUUGGUGGGGUAAUGGCCUACCAAGACUGUGAUCAAUAGCUGAUUUGAGAGGAUGAUCAGCCACAUUGGGACUGAGACACGGCCCAAACUCCUACGGGAGGCAGCAGUGGGGAAUCUUGCACAAUGGAGGAAACUCUGAUGCAGCGAUGCCGCGUGAGUGAAGAAGGCCCUUGGGUUGUAAAGCUCUUUCGUCGGGGAAGAAAAUGACUGUACCCGAAUAAGAAGGUCCGGCUAACUUCGUGCCAGCAGCCGCGGUAAUACGAAGGGACCUAGCGUAGUUCGGAAUUACUGGGCUUAAAGAGUUCGUAGGUGGUUGAAAAAGUUAGUGGUGAAAUCCCAGAGCUUAACUCUGGAACUGCCAUUAAAACUUUUCAGCUAGAGUAUGAUAGAGGAAAGCAGAAUUUCUAGUGUAGAGGUGAAAUUCGUAGAUAUUAGAAAGAAUACCAAUUGCGAAGGCAGCUUUCUGGAUCAUUACUGACACUGAGGAACGAAAGCAUGGGUAGCGAAGAGGAUUAGAUACCCUCGUAGUCCAUGCCGUAAACGAUGUGUGUUAGACGUUGGAAAUUUAUUUUCAGUGUCGCA
rnacentral:rRNA from 1 species